UAUCUUCCUCGUGGAGUCAUUCUUACUAAAGAUAAUCUUAUCAAGAGGAAUUGGCAUGGAAAUCCACAAUGUGUUUUUUGUCAUCAUGAUGAGACAAUAAAACAUUUAUUCUUCCAAUGCAAAUUGGCUCAGUCUAUAUGGUCAGUCAUCCAGAUAGCUUCUGGCGUGUAUCCUCCUUGUAGUGUUGCUAAUGUAUUUCGCAAGUGA
rnacentral:rRNA from 1 species